rnacentral:rRNA from 1 species
CAAUAGCGUAUAUUAAAGUUGUUGCGGUUAAAAAGCUCGUAGUUGGAUUUCUGCUGAGGACGACCGGUCCGCCCUCUGGGUGAGUAUCUGGCUCGGCCUUGGCAUCUUCUUGGAGAACGUUGCUGCACUUGACUGUGUGGCGCGGUAUCCAGGACAUUUACUUUGAGGAAAUUAGAGUGUUUCAAGCAGGCAUACGCCUUGAAUACAUUAGCAUGGAAUAAUAAGAUAGGACCUCGGUUCUAUUUUGUUGGUUUCUAGAGCUGAGGUAAUGAUUAAUAGGGAUAGUUGGGGGCAUUCGUAUUUAACUGUCAGAGGUGAAAUUCUUGGAUUUGUAAAAGACGGACUACUGCGAAAGCAUUUGCCAAGGAUGUUUNCAUUGA